rnacentral:rRNA from 1 species
GUCGAACGAAGUAGCAAUACUUAGUGGCAGACGGGUGAGUAACAUGUAGGUAUCUGCCCUUUGGCCUGGAAUAACACGAGGAAACUUGUGCUAAUACCGGAUAAGUCUUUACGGAGAAAGCUUUAUGCACCAUUGGAUGAGCCUGCACUUGAUUAGUUUGUUGGUGGGGUAAUGGCCUACCAAGACUUUGAUCAAUAGCUGAUUUGAGAGGAUGAUCAGCCACAUUGGGACUGAGACACGGCCCAAACUCCUACGGGAGGCAGCAGUGGGGAAUCUUGCACAAUGGAGGAAACUCUGAUGCAGCGAUGCCGCGUGAGUAAAGAAGGCCCUUGGGUUGUAAAGCUCUUUUGUCGGGGAAGAAAAUGACUGUACCCGAAUAAGAAGGUCCGGCUAACUUCGUGCCAGCAGCCGCGGUAAUACGAAGGGACCUAGCGUAGUUCGGAAUUACUGGGCUUAAAGAGUUCGUAGGUGGUUGAAAUAGUUGGUGGUGAAAUCCCAGAGCUUAACUCUGGAACUGCCAUCAGAACUUUUCAGCUAGAGUAUGAUAGAGGAAAGCAGAAUUUCUAGUGUAGAGGUGAAAUUCGUAGAUAUUAGAAAGAACACCAAUUGCGAAGGCAGCUUUCUGGAUCAUUACUGACACUGAGGAACGAAAGCAUGGGUAGCG